UACGGAGGGUGCAAGCGUUAUCCGGAUUUACUGGGUUUAAAGGGUGUGUAGGCGGACUUUUAAGUCAGCGGUGAAAUCUCCGGGCUCAACCCGGAAACUGCCAUUGAUACUAUUGGUCUUGAAUAUUGUGGAGGUGGGCGGAACGGGUCAUGUAGCGGUGAAAUGCUUAGAGAUGACCCGGAACACCGAUUGCGAAGGCAGCCCACUACGCAAUGAUUGACGCUGAGGCACGAAAGCGUGGGGAGCAAACAGG
rnacentral:rRNA from 1 species